CGGCCUACACUCGCCGCGUGUCCCACUCACCUUGACAGACUGUUGAAAAUGGCUGGCAGCUGAUAAAGUCAUUAUUACGCCAUACCUAGAGCCACGCUCCAGCGAGAAUUUCAAAAAGAAGAAAUCUUUUUCGAAAAGGCUCUAGUACCAGCGUGCCGAACGUCAAAAUAUCUGGCAACCAUCGAGCACGAAAAUCGAGGAGAGCAACUUCGACUGUGAGAAUUUCCUUGUA
rnacentral:lncRNA from 1 species